CUGGACUUGUAAUUGACAAUUGGACGUAAGCCUUAGGACCUGCUAUUUAUGACAUUCAUAUCUAGACUAUAUUGUCUAAUAUACAAUAAGAUAUUUAAUACUGGUAUUAAUUAAAGCAUGCCGUUUGUGUAGUGUUUUAUAUAAUAUAAACUUUAGAAUAUCUGCUGGUUAGCAAAAUCAACAGUUCGGGCAUAUUCACCAGCAUCAAUAGCACAACUUUAUCUUCUCUGCAUGGAUGAAAAUAUUCUUUCCUUUUCCCUACCUCUCGAAUGAUCGACAAUGCCUUCUCAUGCGUGAUAAGUCAUAUAUAAACAUGGGUUUUG